UACAAAAAAUCGAAGCUCCAAAAUUGCCACUGUUUUGGUUGUAUAUACCCGAGCCCAAUGGAUUUGUAUUUAUGCGAAUGGAUCCAACAACUCAGCAGAUCAAAAUUCGGUUACGCUUAAACAAGGAUACAUCUAUUACUGUUCUUUUUCCUAACAAUGACGAACUGCCUCUAAAC